UGUUCAGAAUCCUAAAUUCCCUUAACUUAACAGGGGUCCGUUGCAGAAAGAGUUGCGUUUAAACGCAAGUCAAAAAAUCAAUCGCAAUUGCAAUUGAUUUCAACUCUUUCUGCAACGGG